rnacentral:lncRNA from 1 species
AUGUCAUGGGAAUCUUUAUCAAGCAAAUUCAAGAAACCUGGAAUCCUGAACAAAGAAAAGAUUUGGUCACAGAAUCUGUAUUCUGAACAGCCCAUCCACAGAGCUCCUCGAGGGACUUCUUCACUUUUGGGGAGCUACGGAGGAGAAUGCUGUGGACAUGCAGACCUCUCCCUUCAUGUCUGUGGCCCGUUCUCUCCUGCUAUGUUCUCUUUUGCCUUGUCAAGAGGAGAAGACCCUGUUACUCUGAAUAAGGAAUACAAAAUCUAGCCUUUGGUAAUUUGUACUCUAUACAGAACCUGUGUUGCCAGGCUUUUUCUUACAGUGGGCAUCAUUUACAAAUUUAACAUUUGCUAUUCUGCAGUUAUUGUCAUGCUGCAAAAUCUGCUAUCCUAAAUGCAGUUAUUGCAGGUAUUGAAACUGUGUUUCCAAGGGUGCCCACAAUAUGCAAGCCCAAACAUGGGUGGAAGGCUCAGUUAUUGUUGCUGCUUAAUAUAUAUCAAGCCUUUUAUUUUUUUGUAAAUAGAUAACUAUUGAGGUGGCUUUCAAGAGACAUACUCUCCCCAAUGUCAAUAGUGUAUCAGUUUAAUACAUCCUGUAUCUUUAAUUGGAAGAACAAAUCCUGAUACUGUAUCAGAAUGUUUUUCAAAUCUUCUCCUGUUCCUCAUUUCAGAAUACAGAACAACCUUGUAGCAUAUGCAAUAAAAUUCAGAGAGCUGAAAGCA